GAAAUAGGAUAAAAAAAAUUACUUAGCUGACAGAAAUGAAGACUUUUGUAGUGGAUCAGGUCACCAUUGCUUUAAGCCAUUGAUAGGAACUGGUGUUUUCAAAGAUAAUGUAAAUUAGUCCUCCUCCAUCUUCAGAAAUCAGUAUAAUGUAGGUCAGGUGCAGAUUUCUUCUGCCUGUUUGCUCACCAACCUACAAAGAGAGGGGCAGUGGCUUGAGUAAGUCUGUAAAAGCAGUGUUCUGUUGGCCGGAACACCUCCUAUGAUACUAUGCAUUCUUCCAGGUAAGUGUACCUGAUAUGUCGGUUACUGCUGAAUACUAAAGUCAACAUCAUCUGUGCUUUUUGGAGAUAUGUAGCUAUGGUGAAAGUGCUGCUACAAGUUUUAAAAUCAAUUUCUACUCUGCUGCGGAAGAAGUAUAUGCCUCAGGAAAGCAGUUUUGGUGUCAAAAAGCUAGGUAAGCACAGAACAGUUCCUCUUCAACAUAAGUACAACCUUCUUAUAUAUUACUGUGUAUUAAAUUCCUAGUAAAAUAAGUGGUAAUUAAAUGUUAAUAUUCCAAAUGUUAAUUGGCUUACAAAUUUAGGUCUGCCAAACAAUUUGGAAGUGACAAGGUGGAAUACGCCUAAAGAAGCCUGAGCACUGAAUUUAGAAAGAGACUAUUGCAUCCCAGGCUUCACUGUGGCAUGAUGGCAGAAGAGAAUCACUUCAGUCAGAAAGACACCCAAUGAGAAAGGGCUGAUCCUUGUCAAGCUAAGAACCUCCUGCACUGCAGUAGCCUGCCCCAUGACAAGUGUAGACCAAGAGAUCAUGCACCUUGGAAAAUAAUGAGACUAUGGGAAGAGAAUGACCUUCCUGAGGGGUACAUUCCGAUCAGUGGCAUGAACCACAAAUAGUGCCCAGCAGUUGGCGAGUUGCAGAUGCCUGAAUACCACAGUUUUCAUCUCCUUUCAAUAUCCUUGACUCAUGCAUCCUGUCUGAGCUAACGUAGGUUUCCUGAUUGCAGAGUGUCUGCACCCUUGGACUCGCAACAAGGGCCUGAGCCAUCCCAGCAAGCCCACUCUUCCUCUCUAGACUUCAGCUUCACUGUGCUUUUAGUGACUGUCUCACAAAGCCACUUUGUUAUGCCAAUUCACAUCUGGAAUCUCAGGAUUUACACUGGUAUAGCAGUCCACUGAUUUUCCUCUAAUUUUAAAAUAAUUCUAGAGCAUCACCCAAAAAUCCCGUUCAGUUCUGACUUUAUUUGACGUCUAAAAAGAAAAUGAGCUACCACCACCACUUACACUCAUCAUACUACUAUUAAUACACUAUCACAUUUUCACGCUUGAACGAAAUGCCCCCAAAACAGAUCUGAACCAGAAUAGACUAUUCCAUGUUUGUAAGGUACUUCUAUCUUUAUUUCCCUAAUACUCUGAAAUUCUCCUCUCCAAAUUGCAGUCAUGUUCUAGAUACUGUAGCAGUGAUUUUGCAUUGCUUAAGACCAUUUAUAUUUCUACAAGUACAAAGAUGAAGUGCAAUGAGAGGUAGUCCAAGGUGCUGACCUUUGAAAGUAAAAGGAUGCCUCUUGGAACAGAAAGAAGAAAUAAAAAAAAAAGGGGGGAAAAAAAAAAGAUUUAUUUUUAGCUCCGAUUCAGAAAUAUCAGCCAGGAACAGAAAGAACAGAGUUGCCAGGCAGCAAUUUUCAUGAGCAAGUACCCUAGCUAUGAUUAAAGUAUAAAGAGUUGCAGUUCUGUUGCAAACUUGUUAAUAGCAUUACUAGGUAUGCAAAACAGUUGUCUUUCCCCCACCCCGUUUUAAGCCACACAGUUAAUACAAAACUCAAAUUAGCAUCACUGCCAUUAUUCCCACAUGCCACAGCAACAGGCCAAGUAAAAAUACAUGACAGAGUUGGACAAAUGCUUUAUUAAAUGACCAAUUUCAAACUUUAGUUGUGCUCACUUCCAUGUUCAGUUAUUUACCAUAGAGCCCUUUUUCCUUACCAUUAAACCCACUAUUUCCUUAGCAUCAAAAAUACCUCUCCCCAGAUCUCAUGACAAGGCAAUAUUUUUAUCUGGGUUUUACAGCAGAAGGAACCAAGACACAAGGUCCAUACAGGAAGUCUGUGGCCCAGCCAAGACUCCAGGUCUCCUGAGACUCAGUCCAACGCUUUGACCACACAGUCAAGCACUUUCUCUUCUGUAGUCUUUUGAUCUUUUCUUUCCAUCAUGAAUGACUAAGCUAUAAGGAAUCUUUGUCUAAAGAGCAGGCUUAAAGAACAAAUACAUACUUAAGAUUAUUUACAAAAACUAAUCAAACAAGCUUUUUAAGCAAGACUUGAGUCUUACCCAGUUCUGACUAGGUAUUCAAAGGGUACAAGCUUAUAUGGAACUAUAGACACCUAACGUUGUAAACAUGUUCAAAAGUUUUAACAAAUAUGAACUUAGGGCCAAUGAACCAUGCUCAAACAGCCCACAAGGAAACAAAGCCAGCUUUAGUUUUCAAAAGAUCAAUGCAUGUACAUUAUUUGUGCAAUGAGGCAAUGUACAAGACCAGAAGUCUAGUGUCGUCCAAAUUCAAAUUUAUUUGCCUAAAUAAUGGACUGGUCAUCUAAGCAAUAAUUACCUCAAUAAUUAAGUGGGUAGAGGACAGUGCCUCACCUUAAAGCACAACAGCAAGGGAAGAAAUGGAGUAUGCAGCACUUUGAGUAGGAAAUUUACUUCAUUUGAGGCAACAGAUACAGGUUAGGUUGGUCAGUUAGUUGUUUGUUUUUUAAAAAAUUCAAGAAUAAUGCUAUUAUCCCAAGGUGGUGUCCACCCAAAAGAAACAAAAGAUGAGGAACCUGAAGGGUAAAUGCGAAGGCAGGAAGUAGUGAAGCAGGAAAAAGGAUUCAAAUGUCAGAGAUCAUGUUUAGUAAGGUAUAAAUCAUACCUCAUGACAUCAUAAAGUUCUGUCCCCCCUGGCUGGGAAAGAAAGUUGCCAUAUUUUCCUUCUUCCGUUGGCUAUUUCUACCAAUUACUCACUGUGUUUAUUCUACCUAUGAAUGGGCUGUGAAGGCAUUAGCCACUCUACCACCAGGCAGAAUGGUCAUAUACAGAGCAGAGCCCUGCUGCAGAGUCCUGGUUGAACAAGACUUUCUCUCCCUGCACCAAAGAAAUCCAGUUGAGACCAGUACUAGCCAUCUUGUAGUGAUGCUGUGAUAACCAUGAUAUGUAGUGCUUCCUCAGUUCUGUUUUUAAGCGCUGGGCACUCUCCUUUA